GGAGAAGACUCGUCGCAAGGAGAAGACUCGUCGCAAGGAGAAGACUCGUCGCAAGGAGAAGACUACGCAAGGAGAAGACUCGUCGCAAGGAGCAGACUCGUCGCAAGGACAGGACUCUACACGAGAGGACUCGAAAGGUAGGUAAUCAACACAAGUUGAAGACACUUCACAAGGACAGGACUCGACAUAAGGAGAGGACUCGACAGGUAGGUAAUCGACACAAGGAGAAGACUCUGCACAAGGAGAUGACUUGACACGAGUGGACUCGACAGGUAGGUAAUCGACACAUGUAGAAGACUCUUCACAAGGACAGUACUCGUCAGAUAGGUAAUCUACGCAAGGAGAAGACUCUACGCAAGGAGAAGACUCUACGCAAGGAGAAGACUUGACAGGUAGGUAAUCGACACAAGAAGAAGACUCUUCACAAGGACAGGACUCGACAUAAGGAGAGGACUCGACAGGUAGGUAAUCGACACGAGAAGAAGACUCGUCACAAGGACAGGAAUCGACACAAGGAGAGGACUCGACAGGUAGGUAAUUGACACAAGGAAAAGACUACACAAGGAGAUGACUCAAUGCAAGUAGAAGACUCUUCGCAAGGACAGGACUUGACACAAGGAGAAGACUCGUCGCAAGGACAGGACUCGUCACAAGGAGAGGAUUCGACCGGUAGGUAAUUGACACAUGGAGAAGACUCGUCGCAAGGACAGGAAUCGACACAAGGAGAGGACUCGACACGAGAGGACUCGACAGGUAGGUAACUGACACAAGGAGAAGAGUCAUCGGAAGGACUCGUCACAAGGAAGACUCGACACAAGGAGAGGACUUGACAGGUAGGUAAUCGACACAAGUAGAAGAAUUGUCGCAAGGACAGGAAACGACACGAGAGGACUCGACAGGUAGGUAAUCGACACAAGAAGACUCGUCACAAGGACAGGAAUCGACACAAGGAGAGGACUCGACGCGAGUGGACUCGAAAGGUAGGUAAUUCACACAAGACUCGUCGCAAGGAGAGGACUUUACGCAAGGAGAAGACUCUCCGCAAGGAGAAGACUCUCCGCAAGGAGAAGACUCUAGGCAAGGAGAAGACUCUACACAAGGACAGGACUCGACAGGUAGGUAAUCGACACAAGAAGACUCUUCACAACGACAGGACUCGACAUAAGGAGAGGACUUGACAGGUAGGUAAUCGACACAAGAAGACUCGUCACAAGGAGGACUCGACAGGUAGGUAAUUGACACAAGGAAAAGACUACACAAGGAGAUGACUCAAUGCAAGUAGAAGACUCUUCGCAAGGACAGGACUUGACACAAGGAGAAGACUCGUCGCAAGGACAGGACUCGUCACAAGGAGAGGAUUCGACCGGUAGGUAAUUGACACAUGGAGAAGACUCGUCGCAAGGACAGGAAUCGACACAAGGAGAGGACUCGACACGAGAGGACUCGACAGGUAGGUAAUUGACACAAGGAGAAGAGUCAUCGGAAGGACUCGUCGCAAGGAAGACUCGACACAAGGAGAGGACUUGACAGGUAGGUAAUCGACACAAGUAGAAGAAUUGUCGCAAGGACAGGAAACGACACGAGAGGACUCGACAGGUAGGUAAUCGACACAAGAAGACUCGUCACAAGGACAGGAAUCGACACAAGGAGAGGACUCGACAGGUAGGUAAUCGACACAAGGAGAUGACUCGACGCGAGUGGACUCGAAAGGUAGGUAAUUCACACAAGACUUGUCGCAAGGAGAGGACUUUACGCAAGGAGAAGACUCUCCGCAAGGAGAAGACUCUAGGCAAGGAGAAGACUCUACACAAGGACAGGACUCGACAGGUAGGUAAUCGACACAAGAAGACUCUUCACAACGACAGGACUCGACAUAAGGAGAGGACUCGACAGGUAGGUAAUCGACACAAGUAGAAGACUCUUCACAAGGAGAGGACUCGUCACAAGGAGGACUCGACAGGUAGGUAAUAGACACAAGGAGAAGACUCUACGCAAGGAGAAGACUAUGCAAGGAGAAGACUUGACAGGUAGGUAAUCGACACAAGAAGAAGAAUCGUCGCAAGGACAGGACUCGUCACAAGGAGAGGACUCGACAGGUAGGUAAUAGACACAAGGAGAAGACUCGACGCAAGGAGAAGACUCUACGCAAGGAGAAGACUCGUCGAAAGCACAGGCCUCAAAAGAUAGGUAAUCGACACAAGGAGAAGACUCGUCGCAAGGAGAAGACUCGUCGCAAGCAGAAGACUC